UGCUGUAACUUUUGCCUUGUUAAAUACAUUUAUAUUCUGAAUGCUAACAUUCAACUUCCAAAUAUUUAUACUGUGUAUUGAAUUCUAAUAGAAAUAUUAGUUAGUAUAAUGCAUAGACAGGUGAAUGAUACAGGUUCCAUGAAGCCUCUAGUAGACAGGUGAAGGAUACAGGUUCCCUGGAGCCUCUAGUAGACAGGUGAAGGAUACAGGUUCCCUGGAGCCUCUAGUAGACAGGUGAAGGAUACAGGUUCCCUGGAGCCUCUAGUAGACAGGUGAAGGAUACAGGUUCCCUGGAGCCUCUAGUAGACAGGUGAAGGAUACAGGUUCCCUGGAGCCUCUAGUAGACAGGUGAAGGAUACAGGUUCC